GACAGAGGUCCCGAGCGUUAGGCGGAAUCACUGGGCUUAAAGCGUGUGUAGGCGGUAUCGUUAAGUACCUUGUAGAAAUCCCACGGGCUUAACCGUGGAACUGCUUGGUAUACUGGCGAUCUUGAGGCCACUUAGGGGCUACCGGAACAAAUGGUGGAGCGGUGAAAUGCGUAGAUAUCAUUGGAACGCCAAUGGUGAAAACAGGUAGCUGGGAGUGUGCUGACGCUGAGACACGAAAGCCAGGGGAGGCAAACGGG
rnacentral:rRNA from 1 species